GGGGAUAUAAUGUUAAUGAUGUAAUGUUUUAUUGGACAAGAGGAAAUGAGUCCGUCAGUGGUCUGGACACACUACAGCUGGCACAAUACACCUUGGAGGACUACUACACAUCUGAAUCGGAAGCAGUCUAUGAGACAGGUCACUACCCCAGACUGAUCUUCCACUUUGAGCUGAAGAGAAGCAUCCUCUACUUCAUCCUGGAGACGUAUGUCCCAUCCAGCCUGCUGGUGGUGCUGUCCUGGGUGUCCUUCUGGAUAAGUCAGUCUUCCGUCCCUGCCCGAAUCUGCAUAGGUGUGACCACAGUGCUAACCAUGACUACUCUGAUGAUGGGUGCCCGUACAUCUCUCCCCAAUGCCAACUGCUUCAUCAAGGCCAUUGAUGUCUACCUGGGAAUUUGUUUCAGUUUCAUCUUUGGCGCUCUGAUUGAAUACGCUGUUGCCCACUUUUGCACCCUACACCAGCCUAACAAAGCUAAUGCACUGAUGGUGAGGACUCAACUUUACCAUUACCAUCAUCAUCCCCAUUAUUACCAUCACUAUUAUAAACAUUGCCAUUUCCAUCUCAUCAUUACCAUCUUCACCACUGUCAGGAUCAUCAUCACUGCCCCAUCAACAUUGUCAUUAUCAUUAGCAACAUCAUUGCCAUAAACAACAUCAUCACCACCAGCACUGACUUUAUCACUGUCAUCAUCAUCUUCACUACAUACAGUACCAAAAUGUACAGUGUGAAUGUACAGUGCCUUUUAACCAGCUCCAACUCAAAUAAACUUGAGUUGAAUCAGUA